GGAUGAACGCUAGCGGUGCGCCUAACACAUGUAAGUCGUGCGAUCGAGCCGAACUGAGUCUCCUUCGGGGAUGAUGAUUGGUGACGGAGCGGCGGACGGGUGAGUAACGCGUGGCUAACCUACCCUCUUGACGGGGACAACCACCCGAAAGGGCGGCUAAUACCCGAUGUUGUCUGGAACCGAUGGGUUCCUUUCCAAAGGCGGUCCUGCCGCCGCAAGGGGAUGGGGCUGCGUCCUAUUAGCUAGUUGGUGAGGUAACGGCCCACCAAGGCUUCGAUGGGUAGCUGGUCUGAGAGGACGACCAGCCACAUUGGGACUGAGAUACGGCCCAGACUCCUACGGGAGGCAGCAGUGGGGAAUCUUGGCCAAUGGACGAAAGUCUGAGCCAGCGACACCGCGUGGGGGAUGACGGCCUUCGGGUUGUAAACCUCUUUUCUGGGGAAAGAAUAAGGACGGGAGGAAAUGCCCGCCCGAUGACGGUACUCCAGGAAUAAGCAUCGGCUAACUCUGUGCCAGCAGCCGCGGUAAGACAGAGGAUGCGAGCGUUAUCCGGAAUUACUGGGCGUAAAGGGCGUCUAGGCGGUUCGGUAAGUCGUUUGUGAAAUCCCUCGGCUCAACCGAGGACAGUCUUGCGAUACUGCCGAGCUUGGGUGCAGGAGAGGAGGGUGGAACUCACAGAGUAGCGGUGGAAUGCGUAGAUACUGUGAGGUACCCCGAUGGCGAAGGCAACCCUCUGGCCUGCUACCGACGCUGAAGCGCGAAAGCGUGGGGAGCAAAGGGGAUUAGAUACCCCCGUAGUCCACGCCCUAAACAAUGUUCACUUGGUGUCGGCCGCUCAUACUGGUCGGUGCCGAAGCUAACGCGUUAAGUGAACCGCCUGAGGAGUACGGCCGCAAGGCUAAAACUCAAGAGAAUUGACGGGUCCCUGCACAAGCGGUGGAGCUUGGUUUAAUUCGACGAUAAACGAAGAACCUCACCCAGGCUUGACAUACUAGUGGUAGGAACCUGAAAGGGGGACGACCCUGCCUUCGGGUAGGGAGCUAGUACAGGUGAUGCAUGGCUGUCGUCAGCUCGUGUCGUGGGAUGUUGGGUUCAGUCCCGAAACGAGCGCAACCCUUGUCGUUAGUUGCCAGCGGGUAAUGCCGGGGACUCUAACGAGACUGCUGGUGAAUAGCCGGAGGAAGGCGGGGAUGACGUCAAGUCAUCAUGUCCCUUAUGCCUGGGGCGACACACAUGCUACAAUGGGGGGUACAGAGGGUCGCAAUCCCGUAAGGGGGAGCCAAUCCAUAAAAGCCCCUCUCAGUUCGGAUUGAGGUCUGCAACUCGACCUCAUGAAGGUGGAAUCGCUAGUAAUCGCGGGUCAGCCAUACCGCGGUGAAUAUGUACUCAGGGAUUGUACACACCGCCCGUCACACCAACCGAGUGGGGGGUACCUGAAGUCGCUCUUUUAAGGGCGCCUAAGGUAACUUCCGCAAGAGGGGUGAAGUCGUAACAAGGUA
rnacentral:rRNA from 1 species